AUGAUGAUGUCUCUGACUCUACUGCUGGCCACCCUGGGGCUCCUUGUUCAGGGUUCAUCAGGAGAAAUCAUCCUGACUCAGACUCCUGGAUCUCAGUCUGUUGUUCCAGGACAGACUGUCUCUAUCAGAUGUAAAGCCAGUUCAAGUGUUAGUGGCUGGCUUCACUGGUACCUUCAGAAACCUGGAGAAACUCCUAAACUCUUGAUUUAUAAAGAUACAAACCGUGGAUCUGGAGUUUCAGAUCGUUUUAGUGGAAGUGGAUCAGAGACUGACUUCACUCUGACCAUCAGUGGAGUUCAGGGUGAAGAUUCAGGAGUUUACUACUGUCAGCAGAGUUACAGCUGGCAGUUCACACGGUGAAAAGGCGUCGUACAAAAACCUCCCUCAGCUGCAGAGGAACUGAUCUGACUCAACAGCUGCACUGAAACUCAAACAACAGAUGUUGUUAAAACUCACCCGUUAUUUCACUAAAACACAUUUUAGUCAUUUUUGUGCUUUAUAUUCCAACAAACUGAAGUUUUUUUAUCAUUGAAAUCAAAGAGGAUUUAUGACUGGAUGAUUCUUCAUUGAAAUGUUUCUACCAUAGGUUUAAGUUACAAAUGUGUUUUAUUGAAGAAAAAUCUGCAGCAACUA